CGCGCUUUUCUCACAGACUGCGUCCCUUGCCACAAAUCUACCGACGAUAGCGAGAUUAGGGCAGCAACAACCACCGUCUCCGGCCAUACGGAUUUGCUUCUUCUGCCAUCCGGAGCCUUUGAGCCCGAACUUUAGCUUGUACAUUCACCAAUGCCUGCAUGCACCUAAGGGUUGCAGUGGCCUGUUUCCUCACCAGGUAAGGCUGCAUGAGGCAAGAAGCAUAGAGGAAGCUCCCCACAUAAGCCAUUUGCCAUCCUCUUAGAAGAUUAUUGGCUAAGAUUCCUUGCUUCACUUGGAUUAUUCAGCAAUCAAUUUUGUCCUUGUAGGUAUUUUCUAUCUUUCUUUGGGAAUGGGACCCAGUUGGUUUGGAAUUGACUGUGCUGGAGACAGUACUGCUUAUGAGGAAGAGAGUAUGUGAACAGUGAUUGUGGGGGCUUAUUAAUUAAGGCUCUCAAUUGUUGGUUUUACUUAGCUAUAUGAUGCUCAUUUUCAAGGACCAUCUGUGGUACUGUUCAUGUAUGAAAGGUGUUAAAUUUGAUGUAGAUUUCUCUUUUUGGAUUGUAGCACAUUUCGACAGUGUUGUGAAUGAUUUCCAGGAAACUGUGUUUUUCACUAACGCAAAUCGAAAUACAUAUAUUUUAUUACUGCAUGCAUUUUGUAGGCAACUACUAGUUAAAUUUGAAGAGAAAAUUAGGUACGCUGAACUUUUAGUCAGGAUAACGUGAUGGAGGGAACAACGCGUUGUUGGCUGAGAUGGUAAAUUUGACCGCGAUAACUCUUAGUGCAAGUGAGAA